rnacentral:lncRNA from 1 species
CUUGAAUGCCAGAUCUGUUCAUUGCGGAUGCCAAUUCCCCGAUCUGCAGUUGCAGCACUUGUAUCGUCUUCGUCAACUCCCCAAUGGCAUGGUCUGGAUUUGCAGGUGCUGGUUGGACUUGAUUCCUGGGGCUGAUCUGAUUGUUUGUCCUGGCGUAACUGAAAUUGGGAUGGUCUCUCCAACCUGGGUUAUAUGUGUUAGAAUAAGGAUCACGUCUUACCUGAUUAUUGUAUCCUCCAAUUGCAUUAACGUGCUGGUCCUCUUCUUGAAGUGUGGGACAUUGAUCAGUUGGGGGUCCCACAUAGGCACAUAUACCACAUGGUCGAAGCUGUUGAGGCUGUCGAACCUGAUGAACUUGUUGAGCUUGGCUAAGGAGAAGCUUUUCCACAAGACGAGUUAGCUUUGAAACUUCAGAAUCGGAAGUGGGUGUACUCACCUCAUGGAUUCCUC